CGGAGACUGGCACAGUGAGGGCUGGAAGGUAAAUGAGGCUUUUUUCAUUGCAAGUGGGGGGCAGUGCAAGUGGGGGGCAGUCAACUAAAUAGUCAGUAGGACACUACAUUGUCAGGAAAAUAUGUUUGUAUUCCAAAUACUAUAGUGUUCCCCUUAAUAUCUGGGUUGCUUAGUUCAAGUUGAAAAUUUACAACUGACCUUUUUUUUUUUUCUUCAUACAUCUAAACCAAAGCGGCUCACAUAUAACUACACCCCUAACACAAGAAACCCAUAUUGACCUUUUAAAGGACCACUAUAGUGCCAGGAAAACAAACUCGUUUUCCUGCCACUAUAGUGCCCUGAGGGUGCCCCAACCCUCAGGGUCCCACUCCCAUGGCCCUGAAGGGGAAGGAAGGUGUUAAUCCCUUACCUUUUUUCCAGCGCCGGGCUCCCUCGGCGCUGGGACUCUCCUCCCUCUUCUGAGGGCACCGGCUGAAUGCGCAUGCGCGGCAAGAGCC